rnacentral:rRNA from 1 species
AGCGAACGCUGGCGGCAGGCUUAACACAUGCAAGUCGAGCGGGCCCUUCGGGGUCAGCGGCAGACGGGUGAGUAACACGUGGGAACGUACCCUUUGGUUCGGAAUAACGCUGGGAAACUAGCGCUAAUACCGGAUACGCCCUUUUGGGGAAAGGCUUGCUGCCGAAGGAUCGGCCCGCGUCUGAUUAGCUAGUUGGUGGGGUAAUGGCCUACCAAGGCGACGAUCAGUAGCUGGUCUGAGAGGAUGAUCCGCCACACUGGGACUGAGACGCGGCCCAGACCCCCACGGGAGGGAGGAGGGGGGAAUUUGGGAAAGGGGGCGCAAGCCGGAUCCAGCCAGGCCGGGGGAGUGAUAAAGGCCUUGGGGUUGAAAAGCUUUUUUGCCCGGGACGAAAAGGACGGUACCGGAAGAAAAAGCCCCGGCUAACUUCGU